ACACUCGAAGAGAGUUCAUUUCCUAUAUCCUUGACGAUCUUGACUUCACUUAUGAUGCAAUUGUGACUUCCAUAUCUACUCGCAUCGAUCAAAUGUCUAUUGAAGAGAUGUUUAGUUACGUUCUCAAUUUUGAGU